AAAGUUGGGUAUGCGAUGUGUCUUCGACAUCAACAUACAUGAUGGCUUUGUAUUAUAAGGUUAGCUAGACAUAAUAGAUUCAUACCAUGCGCUUGCACAGGAGUUGAACAGGCUUCCUGUUUAGAUUAAGCCACUGCAGAGUCGGCGCGAGAUAUGGCUCGGAAAAAGUACCACAGUCCAGAGGUUGGUCACUGCUGACAACACCACUAUGGGAAGGAUCUUCCUGGACCACAUCGGUGGAACAUGCCUGUUCUCCUGCACCACUUGUGACACCAUCCUGACCAACCGCUCAGAGCUCAUCUCCACAAGCUUCACCGGCACAAUGGGCCGAGCCUUCCACUUCACCAUGAUGAGCCCGGUGAUAGUCUACUACUCCUACUACAGUAGAGAAUCAUGAAGUUGGAUGCAAGUCCCAUCCCCCAAGAACUCCUAUUCAUAGAUUAAUUUAGCAAAGACUCGGAGAGGUAGGAACAUCAUUGGUCAGCGUGGGGGAAAUGAUACCAUAUGCUCAGUUAUGAGCCACAAUGGAGUCCUCCACUGCCAUCCUUUGGAUCAUAACACUGCCCAUCUCAUUUCCUGAGCAGCAAAUGUUCUAAUUUGAGACAAUGAGUUUCCAAUCAGGCUUGCAACGGUUUACAAUUCAACCCAAUUGUGUUUUCAGCAUGGUGGUGGUAUGAUCGCAAACCCCAUGAACAUAUGGCCCUUCUCUAGGCAAUGGAAGCCACCUGUGGUGACAUUCCAGUUGAAUCCUUGCCAGAAGAUAUUCUCUCUUCUCCCCCCUGGACCAAGGAGAAUACCGGCUGUGAUGUUGAUUAUCUGUGGCCGGACCAAAACAGAAAUUAAAUUGUUUUCAAAAUGGAGUGUGUGUGUGACUUUUGACAGGUUCUUUAUCUAUUCCAUACAUUAGUGCAAAUAGGCUUAUUUUUCUUCCUUUACGUAUGAAUUUCUUUUACAGUAUGCUGUUGAAAUACAACUUGCACUUGUUAUGUACAGAGUAACAAUCUUAGUCUUUACACUGAAAGUGACAGAUCACUGACAUUCAGAUCCUACGUUAAAUUAAUUUGAUGUGCAUCUCAUUCUGAACAGGGAGCACAUUUUAAUUGCUGUGUUUCAUUAAGCAAGAUGGGGUUUGGGCACUGUUUCAGCACCUGAGAUGUAUUGGGAAACGAAUGCCCAUGAUCUUGGAAUGAGAUGUUCAACUUCACCUUUUGAGCAGAGAAGUGGGGCAAUAGAGGACAUUAACAGGGAAAGGUUUUGGGCAAUCCUCAAAACAAGGGCUAGAUUAACACAAAUCGGAAGGGUACGGGCACAGACGUAUGAUAUUUGACUGACAAAGUAACAAUACAUGUCUACUUUUCACACAAGUUGUAUGUAAAGUGUCAAUUUUAGCUCCCCCCCCCAUUACAGAUAUUGACAAUAAGGUUUGCACUUCGUUGUUUGAUGGACUCGUUAAAGAUCACACAGACGACCCGCUCCUCUAAUCCAGUUUAAUCAUCCUCAGCAAAAAGGCCAAAUACAAUAAGAGAAAACAAAGUUAUUUUUUAUACAUUUAACUAAAUAUGCAGUGCUAUGCUAGUGUGUAAGUAAAUCAAAACCAUAUGGUUAAAUACAAUUUCUUUUAAGAUACAGAAAGAUAUUAAUUUCUUCCAUUAGCACUCGCGAGAACAGGUCGCAAAAUAUCAAAAUAAAACCAGCCACAACAGUACGCUCCUUUUUUGUUGUUGACCACUACAUAUCACUCCCUCUGUCCUUCAAAUAAUCCCUCGCACCAGAAGGGGACCAGUGAGAGUCGAAGGAAGCAGAGGAGAGGGGGAUGGAGUGAAGAAUGAGAUGAGCAUUGGGACCAGCACAGUCAAGUAGUGUGACUAGGGUAGGAGGAGAAAAUAUGGAACAGACUAGCAGUAUACUACUUAGAAUGAACCAACGUAUCAGGCAUGCAUUCUAAGUGGUAUUCUAUUAUGGCCAUAUGAACAGAGCCAUGGUUCAAGGAGUCAGGGAUUUUGUAUGUACAGAAGAGGGAGUAGAGUGCAUUACAAAACAGGAGCAGGAACAGCAUCACUCAUUCAAAGGGCAGCAGGCAGAGAAGAGCUUCUGCUUGUCUCCAGUCCAUUUGUUCAGACUGAUCCAACAGAGGAGCGGAGGAGGAGGUUGGCUGCAGUACAAAGGUUAGUGGUCUGGUUUGGAUUCAAACCACUCUGGCAGAGACUCAUAGGAACAAACACGGCCACACAACAACUGACCCAGGACCUGGGGAAAAAUGUCCUCACUCAACACACAAGCCAAUUCAAUCCAAUGCCAUGCAGAGCCAUUGGGCAAGGAAAAGAGAAAAUAAGGUGGGGGAGUUAAAGGUCGAUAUCCCACCCUCCUACAACCUGAGGACUGGUCUAGGGACAGACAGGUCUAUGUUCCGUUCCUUAGUGACCAUUGACAUAGUUGUCUUUGUCAGCAGGUUUUCACUAAGGAGCCGGUAAGGAGAGAGAGGUCAGUUUCAUAUAGGAAGUACUGUUGCAGACAGUCUUCUUUUGUGAUCGGUGAAGCAGAGGGGAAAGAAAAAAGUGUGUGUUGCGCUAUGGCGGCGCUGCUGUGUACUAAAAUAAAUAAUCUGACCGUUCUUUCUUUACAGGGUCCUUGUUGAAUCUGAAGACUGGGCGAGUUAAGGCUGUGAAAAUGAACAUGCGAUAGUGACAGUGUGGCUCCAGAGGUUGCCGUGGUGACAGUGUCCAAGUCAGAGUCCAAACUGUCAAAACUAACAGGAGUGGAUCAACAAUACUCAGAUCCAGAAUGGUGGGGCAAAUUGUGAGUCUAUUUCAACCAUGCUCGCUCUCCCUUCUACCCCCGCUCACUUUCCCUUCUCCCCACUCCCUCCCUCGCUCCUUUCACCCUCUCUUGAAGUGCCUAGUGUGGAGACGGGCGGUCAAUGGGAGCAACUCAGGAGCACUCUUCUCCAAUGCGCUGGCACGAGCGGCCCACCUUGCGGUCCAGCUUCACCAUCUUGAGGACGGCCUCCUCGCGCCCACGUCCCAGGUGGUCGAACAGGCAGUCGUGCUGCUCAGUACUUACCGCAGCGACAGGAGCCCAGUUCCUGCUGUACCAGCUCCAGUUUGGUUUGGCAGCGAUAGCAGCGCCGGCGGUUUUUCUGCUUGGGUCCUGGGCUAGGCUCCUCGCUAACCGCCUCCCCCUCCUCAGUGUCACCCCGUGCCCGUUUCUCCGGUGACGCCUCGCUCUCCAGCCCUGAAGCUGAAAGAACAGAAGGUUACACGGUGUCAGAGUCCAACGUACAGUUUUGCACAAACACAGGGCGCAGGAGCAAGGCUGUACCUGAUUCGCAAGGACGUUUUUUGGGCGUACAGAGGGUACCUUGGGCUGUUUCUGUGCAUGAUAAUAGUUCUGUGGAGAGAGAAAGAAAAAAAAAAAAGAAAAAAAAAGUGUAAGACAGGAAACAUUCCUCAUUGAUCAAGAGCCCAGAUGUGUGUCACCUAGACCAAGAAGCAGGGAAUUAGAUACAGCUUUGGAGACAAAACAAUCUUGAAUUUAAGACCUUGUGGCAAUGUUAUGUAAUAAGAAGCUCAAGUAACUUCAAAAUCCAUAUAAAAAUCCUGACAUGCCAAGUCUGUUUAUCAACAUACCCUUACAUUAACAUGAAGGUAACAACAAAAACACAAGAUACUGCAGUUGGUUUAAAACUGGGAACCUUAAAUGAAAUCCUGGGAGAAGCAAGCAGAUCUUAAGAUAGUUGCACUGACAAUGUUGCCCCACUAUGCGCCCUAUCUAGGCCAGGCUGAGUGCAUUCAUUGCCAGCAGAGUAAGACACACACAGAACCACUCCUCCAGAGGCGAAAUAGAAGCAAGCCGUCAGUCCAACCUUACAGACCUCUGCCAACACAGAUCAUGAAAUACAUACAGUAUAUACACUGAGUGUACAAAACAUUAAGAACACAGGCGCUUUCCAUGAUAGACACCGGGUGAAAGCUAUGAUCCCUUAUUGAAGUCACAUGUUAAGUCUACGUCAAGCAAUGUAGAUGAAGGAGAGGAGACCGGUUAAAGAAAGAUUUUUAAGCAGAGACAUGGAUUGUUUUGUGCCAUUCAGAGGGUGAACGGACAAGACAAAAUGUUUAAGUGCCUUUGGACUGGGUAUGGUAGGUGCACUGGUUUGUGUCAAGAACUGCAAAGCUGCUGGGUGGAGGUUUCCACCCUUAACAGUUUCCAGUGUGUAUCAAGAAUGGUCCACCACCUAAAGGACAUCCAGCCAACUUAAACUGUGGGAAGCAUUGGAGUCAACAUGGCCAGCAUCCCAGUGGAACUCUUUAGACACCUUGUAGUCCACGCCCAACAAAUUGAAGUUGUUCUGAGGGCAAACUAAAUAUUAGGAGGGUGUUCCUAAUGUUUUGUACACUAAGUGUACAUUGAAAGCAAGUGGUUCCACACAUGUGUGGUUACUGAGUUAAUUUUGGGAUGCUAAUUUCUUAAUUGUAUUUAUUUUACCAGAUAAAUUGACAGAACACAUUUUCAUUUACAGCAAUAACCUGGGGAAUAGCUACCGGGAGAGGGGGCGAAGGAGUCAAUUGGAAGCUGGGGAAGAUUAGGUGGCCAUGAUGGUAUGAGGGCUAAAUUGGGAAUUUAGCCAGGACACCCGGGUUAACACUCUUGCGAUGGGAUUAAUUUUAUUUAACUAGGCAAGUCAGUUAAGAACAAAUUCUUAUUUACAAUGACAGCCUACCCCAGCCAAACCCUAACACUAAGCCAAUUGUGCGCUGCCCUAUGGGACUGCCAAUCACAGCCAGCUGCGAUAAAGCCUGGAAUCGAACCAGGGUCUGUAGUGAAUGCCUCCAGUGCCUUAGACCGCUGCACCACUCAGGAGUAUACCACCUGUCACUGGCUUCAUCAAUAAAGUGCAUCGACGACGUCGUCCCCACAGUGACCGUACUAGAGGUCGAGCGACUGAAUUUAACGCCGAUAACGAUUGGAGGACCAGAAAUACAGAUUUUAAAAAUGGUGGAUUUUUAUUUAAUUGUAAUAAUGACAAUUACAACAAUACUGAAUUAAAAUAACUUAACUUAAAAUAAUACAUCAAAUGGAACAUGUUCAAUUUGGUUUAAAUAAUGCAAAAACAAAGUGUUGGAGAAGAAAGUAAAAGUGCAAUAUGUGGCAUGUUUGUAAGUCGCUCUGGAUAAGAGCGUCUGCUAA